rnacentral:lncRNA from 7 species
AAUGACCAAACAUUGCUGCCUUAAUUUUUAUUUCAGCAUCACCUUAUACAGUAUGCAAAUCAAUGCCUGGUACGAAGACAAAAGGCUAUGUUCUGGUGGGUGGUCUCCUAGAGUAAAUAUUCGUAAGAUUAACAAAACAAACUUCCUAUCUACAACGAAGUAUAUCCAUCAAAAGGGUUUGAAUCGUGGGAAGUUGGGACCCUAGAGUAAACACACAGUAGGAUGAAGCCUGGUAUUUGUAUUGCUGAGAGAAUAGCAGGUAUCCACUGACCCUGAUGUUUUCAAACCUUCACAUGAAAAGUGGGCG